UGGGGAAUAUUGGGCAAUGGGCGCAAGCCUGACCCAGCAACGCCGCGUGAAGGAAGAAGGCUUUCGGGUUGUAAACUUCUUUUAUGAGGGACGAAGAACUGACGGUACCUCAUGAAUAAGCCACGGCUAACUACGUGCCAGCAGCCGCGGUAAUACGUAGGUGGCAAGCGUUAUCCGGCUUUCCUGGGUGUAAAGGGCGUGUAGGCGGGACUGCAAGUCAGAUGUGAAAUUCCAGGGCUCAACCCUGGACCUGCAUUUGAAACUGUGGUUCUUGAGUGAUGGAGAGGCAGGCGGAAUUCCCUGUGUAGCGGUGAAAUGCGUAGAUAUAGGGAGGAACACCAGUGGCGAAGGCGGCCUGCUGGACAUUAACUGACGCUGAGGCACGAAAGCGUGGGGAGCAAACA
rnacentral:rRNA from 1 species